GACGAACGCUGGCGGCGCGCCUAACACAUGCAAGUCGAACGAGCGAGCGAGAGCUUGCUUUCUCGAGCGAGUGGCGAACGGGUGAGUAACGCGUGAGGAACCUGCCUCAAAGAGGGGGACAACAGUUGGAAACGACUGCUAAUACCGCAUAAGCCCACGACCCGGCAUCGGGUAGAGGGAAAAGGAGCAAUCCGCUUUGAGAUGGCCUCGCGUCCGAUUAGCUAGUUGGUGAGGUAACGGCCCACCAAGGCGACGUUCGGUAGCCGGGCUGAGAGGUUGAACGGCCACAUUGGGACUGAGACACGGCCCAGAAUCGUACGGGAGGCAGCAGUGGGGAAUAUUGCACAAUGGGGGAAACCGUGAUGCAGCGACGUGGGGUGGAGGAAGAAGGUCUUCGGAUUGUAAUCUCCUGUUGGUGGGGAAGAUAAUGACGGUACUCAACAAGGAAGUGACGGCUAACUACGUG
rnacentral:rRNA from 1 species